AUUCAAUCAAAUUUCAUGGGUUUAACAUCAACAUUUUCAUCAUUCCCACAAUUCAAUCAAAUUUCAUGGGUUUAACAUCAUCAUUUCUAUAAUUCCCACAAUUCAAUCAAAUUUCAUGGGUUUAACAUCAACAUUUUCAUCAUUCCCACAAUUCAAUCAAAUUUCAUGGGUUUAACAUCAUCAUUUCUAUAAUUCCCACAAUUCAAUCAAAUUUCAUGGGUUUAACAUCAACAUUUCCAUCAUUCCCACAAUUCAAUCAAAUUUCAUGGGUUUAACAUCAUCAUUUUCAUCAUUCCCACAAUUCAAUCAAAUUUCAUGGGUUUAACAUCA
rnacentral:lncRNA from 1 species